GCACCAGCUCCUUUCCAAUAUCGAGGCGACGAAUCAGGCGAGGAGGGAUGCCAUCCAGGCAGAGGAGAGUCGCCGGGCUGAAGUGGCUCACCUCAAAGAAAAGACAGCCGAGGUAGUCACCCUCCGAGAGGCCCUGAAGAAAGAAAAGCAGGCCUUGGAGAAAGAAAAGCAGACCUCGGAGGAGACGGUGAGGAAGACGGAGGUCGAGGUCGCAAAUCUGGCAAAGUAGAUCCC
rnacentral:lncRNA from 1 species